rnacentral:tRNA from 2 species
UCAUAGCUCAAUUGGAUAGAGCAUCUGACUUCGGAUCAGAGGGUUGUGGGUUCAAGUCCUACUGGG